ACGAGCUGAAGGACUCUGGGUCACCUCCCACCCGUGUUUAUUUUACCUUGUUGCUUCGGCGGGCCCGCCUUAACUGGCCGCCGGGGGGCUUACGCCCCCGGGCCCGCGCCCGCCGAAGACACCCUCGAACUCUGUCUGAAGAUUGUAGUCUGAGUGAAAAUAUAAAUUAUUUAAAACUUUCAACAACGGAUCUCUUGGUUCCGGCAUCGAUGAAGAACGCAGCGAAAUGCGAUACGUAAUGUGAAUUGCAAAUUCAGUGAAUCAUCGAGUCUUUGAACGCACAUUGCGCCCCCUGGUAUUCCGGGGGGCAUGCCUGUCCGAGCGUCAUUGCUGCCCUCAAGCACGGCUUGUGUGUUGGGCCCCGUCCUCCGAUCCCGGGGGACGGGCCCGAAAGGCAGCGGCGGCACCGCGUCCGGUCCUCGAGCGUAUGGGGCUUUGUCACCCGCUCUGUAGGCCCGGCCGGCGCUUGCCGAUCAACCCAAAUUUUUAUCCAGGUUGACCUCGGAUCAGGUAGGGAUACCCGCUGAACUUAAGCAUAUCG
rnacentral:rRNA from 1 species